AGAGAAUGCGUGCCUGGCGAUUGUCACUUGCAGUCGCAACUUUUACAAAGUGGCAGCUGGCCUCCAUGGGGCGGUGCAGACAGGGGACUGUCAUUGCUGGAGCACCUCGUGGCUAUCCACAGGAAAUGGAAAAAACAUGCUGUUUUCACAACGCGGACGACACCGUGUCAAAGGAAGUUAUGGAAAAG
rnacentral:lncRNA from 1 species